UAUGGUUGUAUCUGCAACUAAAGUAACAGAUUUACUUUCUUCUUCCUCUCUUCCAGAAAUGGAGAGGUUUGUCUAUCCAGCCUCACUUUUAAUACUGAACUUCCCCUAGGUGUCUCUGAGAUUCUGUCUUUCAUGGCUUGGGCUCUUGAAUGGUGUUGGCCAGAUUAUUUCUAACAGUCAAGAAGACAUGAAGUGGUAAUUGCUCCAAAUGUGUGCACAUGGUUGCUUACUGGACAGAAAUUGCCUGGAGUGCUCAGAUUCCCCCACCUAGGCUUAUCUUACCCUGAACCCCCCCAGAUGGCCUGGGUCAUGCUAUAUGAGUCUGGGCCACCUUUCUCCCUUACCAGACCAUAAAGCCCGAAUGACAGGAACAUCUAUCUCUGUAACUACCAAGCCCCACACAAAUCAAGGCUCAAUACGUGUUUCUAGUGAGUUGUAGUCCAUGUGCCCUCCACACACACUACCACCAACACAUCCCACGUGUUCAUCAACUUACCCUGUUCUCCCUGGGACUCCUUGUCUCUUACCAAGGGAGCUGAGUACCCGGAAUCAUUAGAAAGGUCCUCUUCUCUGAUUCAUGAAUCGGGAGUAGUUUCCUUAAAAAAAAAAAAGAAAGCUCCUCUUCUCUGUAGGAGGAAGCACAAUUAAGUUUAGAAAAGUACUGGAUAACUCCUUAUACUCUCCUAACUACCAACUGACCGAAGUCUAGAACAACCAUGACUAAGAUCUCAGUGUGUCAAGACAACAAAAAGAAGCAAAGAAAAUUCCUAAAGAAAUGAAGGGAGGCAGUUCACAGAAGCCACAGAGACACCUUUGUCUGAAAACAAGCAGAAAACAAUCUUCAGAACCUUACAUACAACCUGCCAAGUUUCUGAGAGUCCUAGUCACACCUCCAUCUCUAAGAAAGUUGCAUUCUAGUCGGUCACCUAGAGGGUCAGCUGGGGUCUAGAAUGUGAAGCCUGCUGCCCACUCCCAUCAGUCAUUCUGUUCACUCUGUCCCAUGCAAGCCCUUUCCCUUAUGCCCCAGCCCCUCACACUGCAGCAUGAAGGGGAGCAGAGGCUGGUGUGGUCACUGUGUGAUGACUGCAAGAGACGAGAGCGAUUCAGGGUGGCCCUGUCUCUGCACUUUAGGUGUGAACCGCUUUGAUUCUCCAAAUCGGAGUCUCAGAAAGCCUAAGAGCCAAGUAAAUUUCCCUCUUUUCCUGCCUUCAUUAAUCCACACAGCAAAUCACCGAUUACCUUAGUUUCUUUUCUGGACUCUCUGGUGUCUGUGAGCGGGACGAGGCAGGGCUGGAGAAGGGUGAGGCACUGGGAUGCCUUCUCUUCCACAGCUAAAAGCCAAACACAAGUCACGUGACUGACCCUACAGAAUAACGUAUGAUCUGAUCUUCAACAUAAUUCUGUGGCUCGAAUCCAGCACUGUAUAUAAAGUCUCCUUUUGAAGUGACUGAAAACUUUUCUUUGUGAAGAGGGGCUUCUGAAAAGUGAGUCAAUUGCCAGUAUUUGAAAGGGUCCUCAUUGGCCAAAGUUGGAAAAUUUGCAUCAGAAAGAGUAGCUACACUAUAUUUGUUCUAGGACUGUCAUAAUCUAAUAAGAAAAGUAUAAAAAUGCUUCAAGAGCUUUUUAACUCUAUUCAGGUGUACUGAUUAUUUGCUAACUUCUCACCAAAGCAGUUCAAUCACAAAAUUAAUAUCCUACCAUCCAUAAAUUAAAAACAAACACUUUAGCGACCCACCUACACACAUUCCCCAGUGCUCUCAUUUUGUUCAGUCUGUAAGAGAAGAACUUCACAUAUCACACAUAAGGGCCUGUGCAUUGUGCACAUAAUCACUGCUUAUUCCAGUUUUGGGAAGGAUAAUACAGAGCCCUCAGGUAUAGGCUCACUGGGGUCUAGAAAAAUUACCAACCUGGAGAACAUGAGAAACCUCUUUUGACCAUAAUAAUAGUUAUUUUCUCUCUGACCUCCACAAAAAUCCUUCAAUCUUUUAUGCUAAGUCAUCAGAAAUAUACACCCAAAGUCAAACGUUUUAAAAACCUGAAUGUUCACCUUUUCAAAUAAAUGUACUUAUCAAGGAUCUAGUGUCACCAAAGUUUUGAAUUUUGUUGUAUCAGCUACUGGGACCAAACAAAAACACACGUCUUUUUAAUCUAAUCAUCUUUAUCAGUCAAGUUAUAUCCAUCAAGGAGGUUUCCAGGGUACACCUCUUUGAGCUUGGAUGAGACAAUUUAUUGUUCCAAAGAAAAAAAGUAACAAAACCUAUUAUAGUACUAUGCUUUAAAGACAGAAGAUAUUUUCACCUGAAGUAGGGAUAUUAUAAGUGAUGUUACCAAGGAUUCUGCUAAACCCAUACUGUAUUAAAGUUCAGAGCUUUAAGAAAUGAAAGAAGGAUCUGCAACAACAUGGAUGGGGCUAGAGGGUAUUAUGCCCGGUGAAGUAAGCCAGGUGGAGAAUGACAAGUAUCAAAUGAUUUCACUCAUCUGUGGAGUGUAAGAACAAAUGAAAAACUGAAGACACAAAACAGCAGCAAACUCUCAGAACCCUAGAAUGGACGAACAGUUACCAAAGGGAAAGGAACUGUAGACAGUGGGUUGGAAGGGAUGGGGAAGGGGAAUAUGGGCCAUUACGAUCAGCACACAUGAUGUAGGGGGUGGAUUACAGGGAAGGCAGUAUAGAACACAGAGAAGACAAGUAGUGAUUCUGAGACAGACUAUGGGCUUAGGGAGAAUAAUAGGGUGAGGGCCUCUAGAAAAAUAUCCCUACCAAAACUCCAUAUUAAACAAUUAAUGAAAGUCAGAGUCACAUUAAUUCCCUAAAGUAAAAUAUCAAACUAGGAAUAUGAGCAUACUUCAGUGAAGAUUAAUUAAAACUGAAAAGCCAGGAAUAACCUGGCCUGGAAUGUUUGAACAUCCCCCAGGUAAGAAAGUACCUCAGCAUAGCCCAUGUCUCCAUUGUGUCAAUUAAAUAAGGCUUUUGUAAAAUUUACUUUAGCCUGCUAAAAGGCCCAGUUUAUCUGUUUUACCCAGAUUCUGCUUUUCCUCCUCCAGCCCCUAAUCAAGUAAUAUAUAACCUGGGCAAUUAAUUUAGCAGGCAGGCCCAGCCAUAAAUAACAUACUAAAGGGCAGGAAGGAUUCCAUCUUAAAGAUAAGAUUGCAUUUUUACACCCAAGAAGUUAAGAAGUAAGAUUCUUACUAUUUAACAAACAAGACAAUAACUCAGCUCACCUUGAAAGCAAGACAAGCAGCCUUGAUUGAUACACUCACAAACCAAGAAACUAGUAUUCUGAGAAAGAAUCAAAGCAGUAAAUCUUAUGUUAACUCUGCAAAAUAGUCCAGAAAACUGAUAAGAAACUUAGUGUCUCUUCAAAGAUAAAAAUUUAGAGACCAUUUGGUGGGUCUGUAUCCCUAGCUCUGUCUCUCAGCCGCCUAUAAAUCCCCUAGACAACACACCACUACGGGCUCUCUUGUCCCCUCCUGGCUCAUGCCAGGAGGUCUGUCCUGUCACUGUAUCUCUCCAUAAAAGUCUCCAUGGCUUUCUUACCUUGACUGUUUGCUAAGUUCAUUCUGAGACUCCGCAAACAAGAACCCCGGCAUCAUUUUGGGGGGCACGUCUGGGAUAACUUCAGAGGUGAUUAUCAGUAUCCAAGCCUGCUUUUUCUUUCACUGUCCUUAUAGAAGGAAGCUGUCUAUGGCACACAGCAUUGAGCACUGGUCAGCCACUUAAAUGGGACUAGCCCGGCUGGCAUUCUCAAAGUCUGAGCGACAGGUUCCCCUGUCUCCCUUGGGAGCCAGGAAUGCCACCUGAGUGGAGGCCAGGAUUCCCUUUUAGAGGCAUCUCCUUGGAUGCGAGGGACUGAGGAAAGCUGUGGGCAAUAGAGUCUAGGCUGAGGCUACACUUCAGCGGCUUCUCAAAGGCCCGUGUAUCUGGAAUCAGACUCCGACAGCCCGACGGGGUAUCCAUGAGGAGUGUCUCUCUUUCUCUGUCUCUGACUUCCAGCCUGCUUCUUCAUGCUGCCCUGGCCUCUUGAGUGAGGCAGGGGGCUUUCCUAACUCUCUUCUAACUUCAUCAGUUUCACGGAACCUGAUGCUCACCACUGCACCAUAGGAGAUCUACGCUUUGCUCUUAUUCCUGACAAUACUGCACUUUUAAAAAAAUCUCAUCAAAAUGUGUCUGGGCACCCGUUAGCCACUUAAAAGAUGAUUAGCGUUUGCUACCAGUCUUAAGUCUUGGGUGAAAGGUUUCCUGGUGUCUGCCACUCCUUGAUCCCCCACCUCCAGAUGGAUGGGAAUGUUGGGGAGUGGCUGAGCUGAUUUCCUACUUUCCUAUCCUAAUCUGCGGACUCCUAGGGCAGACCAGACCAGUAGACAGUGGUCCUUGGAUCUCAGCUCUUGCUGAUUGAUCCAAUGGUGCUGAGUGAGCCUCCGACUAGGCUGCUGCCUAUGCGAGAGACGCAGAUGACCCCCGACCUCUUGUCUCACAGAUCAGAUUUCUUACAGUGGGUGACUAGCAGGAUCAUUCCCAGGCAGUGGGAGAAACCGGUGUUUAAGAGUAUAGACCCCCAUAAAUGUCCAUAGCAGCCUCUGAAUUUUAUCUUGCCUUGGCAAAAAGUUCCAUUGCUCCCCAUUCAAAGCAGUCCUUUUAGGCCUGUGCCACUUUCUCUUGUGUAAUGUAAAUAAAGUCUGUAAAGUAGUCAAGCUGAAACCUGAGACAAACAUGUAAAUGGCUCUAUUCUGUUGAUCCCCCUUCCUUAGAGGCAUCAUCCUGGCGCUAGGCAUUUCCUUUUAUGCAGCCCCCAGGGAAGCGAAACAGGCUUGUGACUCGGAUCAAGGCUCUGGCACCGAGAGGUCACACAGUCCCUGCACUUAUCGGACAGGUAGGGGGCCCUCAAAUAAUGAUCCUGAGUGUACUAUGCUAAAGCUCGUGCAGAGAAAACUCAAAUCUAGAUUAGAAUUCCCAAAAGGUGUAAAGUAGGAGCACACUGGUGAGGUCCCCACUACCAGCUCUGAGGCGACUCUUGCUUAGUGGGAAGGCAAGAGGGGAAUCAAGGCAAGGUGUAGGCCACGCUGGUAAGGAGUGGUUAAAUCUAGUAGUCCUGGAAGAAGAGGUGAUUGACCACUGUCACCCAGGCUCCAAGAUGAGGGGACACCCUCACAGAGAAAGGCCAACCAGGUGUCACACACCUGUCUUUCUCUUCCAGAUGGGAGCUUCCUCUUCAAAGUUAAAGCCAGUUCACACCUCUGGCAUGCAUUCUGAAUAACUGGGAGAGGUUUGAUUCCCAGACCCUGAAAAAGUGCCUUAUCUUCUGCAUACAAGCCUGGCCUCAAUACAAACUGUCUGAUUGGAGAGGCUUGGCCCCUGAGAGAAGUAUGCAAUAUAAGGUUAUGCAGCUAAAUGUAUUUUGCCACAAGAAAGGAAAAUAGUCAAAAGUUCCCUGAACUACUACAAUAUGGAACUAGUUUUCUGAAAAUUUUUUGGUGAAAAUCUAUUCUUAUUGGGUUCAUCAUUAUCCUCAAAAAUUAAGAGGGUUUUAAAAUAGACUCCCUGAGAUAGAAAAAAUUAAUCUUCUGCAACACAGCGUGGCUUUAAAUAACUGGUGCUGGAAUUGUACUUGCAUUUCAUUUCCAGCCCCCUAGACUCACACAGUCCCUAUCAGUUCAGAGCCUUCAUUGGCCCUUUCAGUUUGAGGCCAUCUAGACCUUAACCCAGUUAUGUAAACUACUGGCCCUUAGAGUGUAUUCUUGAAAAUUGAGAUACUUUUAAUCAAGUAAGCUAAAAAGAAAGGAGGCAAUUGAAUAUUAGUAACUCAAAUCUUUGUAUCAGUCUGUCUGUGUAUAUGUUAUCAUUAAAAGUGUAGCUAACUGUAGUCAUUACUGUAAGACAAAUUUUAGCCGAAAUAAGCAGGCAAAGAGAGGCAACAAAGGGCCAGGUAGUUUGAGUGCAACUCCCCGGUGAUGUUCCGUGGUCUGGCUAUCACAGGCUGGGGAAGUCACACCCGGUCAGGGAGGUGGGGGCUUAUAAGGGGUUAGGACAGGGAGGAGUGUGCAAGCUAUCCUAGGGGGUGUGGAGAGGUAUGAUUGGCUAAAGGUGACAUAAUAGACAACUAGAAACUUUUUUUCUUUCCAAGAGGGAGGAGGCUGACAUCCUGGUGUUAGUUGGCACAUCAGAAGGAUGGAAUUCAGGCAGAGCUGUCCCCUUUCCAUAUAAGGCAUGGACCUUGGGGGUCUGGUCUGUUCUCCUUUUAUGGUAUCUCUCUGUUCUGUUUCCAUGUCCUUGUUUUUCCCUCCUCCAGCCUAACAAUUACAUCUCUGUGUGUUUGUGUGUCUAAGUGUGUAAAUGAAAAAUAUUUUUCUACCUCUGGAUGGUAUUAAUAAAAAUUUAUUUAAAGACAAGCACUUGUGAAAAUUGGGCAUUCUAAAACUUCCAGAAAAUUCUAAUAGAAAAUAUUAAGCAUUAAUGCUAAUUUAAGUUGAACUGAAAUGGACAUGUCCUUUUGGUUAUGAGGCUUGACUUUAUCUAAUGUUUAGUUAAAGUUUUGUGAGUAAUCUAGCAUGGUUGUUGGGAAUGAGUAAACUAAGUGUAGCAAGUGAACGUCUUAAUAAUAGUGUGUUACAGUGUAUUACAGUGUGUAUACCUACAAACAGCCUGAGAAUCUUUGUGGUAACCUAAAACCUUAGUGUUUUGCUAAGUAGACAUAUUUUGUGCUUAGAGAUUGUGCUAUAAAGCUCAUAGUUACAGAAAUUAUAAAAUGUGUUCAUUAAUUUGUCAAUCUAGAGGAUGCUAGUGUAACAGUUUACAAUAGCCUACUUCUCAGUGUUCACUGAAAAUUAAAGUUCAUAAUAGUUUUAAGGUCUAAUUAAAGCUACUUAAAAUAAUAAAGAAAACGUCUCUGCUUGCUAAAAAAGAUGUGUGUUUUAGUAAGAGAAGGUGUAAAGAAUAGAAAUUCGUUUUGUUGAGAAUAAAAGAAAGUAACUUUGUUCUAAAGUACAGCUGUUUACUUAAAGAGGGAGACACUGAAUGUAAAAAGAAAGUUGUAGAAAGUUUGUGGAAAAUUGAUAUAAUGCUAUGUGAAAUUAAAGCAAAUAAGUCAAUAUCAAGUACACAGCAAAACUAGAAUUUUUUGUUUGUUAAAAGAACAAAGAUUUAUUAGUCUACAGUUAAUGUUGAAAGAUUGCAAAGGGUUUUUUAAUUGUUUAUCAAAGCAGUUUCCCAUGCUUAAAAUAUCAAAGAAAAUGAUAAAUGCAUCCAGUUUUGAUGCAUCUUUCCAAGAUUCCUUAGAGCAAGGUCAUGUUCUCACCUUAGUCUACAUAGGGUAUUAUUUUUUAACAAAAAAGCCUUGUCAGUUAAAUAAACAAAACAAUUAUA